rnacentral:rRNA from 1 species
CGCUGGCGGCAGGCCUAACACAUGCAAGUCGAGCGGCAGCACAGAGGAACUUGUUCCUUGGGUGGCGAGCGGCGGACGGGUGAGUAAUGCCUGGGAAAUUGCCCUGAUGUGGGGGAUAACCAUUGGAAACGAUGGCUAAUACCGCAUGAUGCCUACGGGCCAAAGAGGGGGACCUUCGGGCCUCUCGCGUCAGGAUAUGCCCAGGUGGGAUUAGCUAGUUGGUGAGGUAAUGGCUCACCAAGGCGACGAUCCCUAGCUGGUCUGAGAGGAUGAUCAGCCACACUGGAACUGAGACACGGUCCAGACUCCUACGGGAGGCAGCAGUGGGGAAUAUUGCACAAUGGGCGCAAGCCUGAUGCAGCCAUGCCGCGUGUAUGAAGAAGGCCUUCGGGUUGUAAAGUACUUUCAGUCGUGAGGAAGGUUGUAGUGUGAAUAGCACUAUGAUUUGACGUUAGCGACAGAAGAAGCACCGGCUAACUCCGUGCCAGCAGCCGCGGUAAUACGGAGGGUGCGAGCGUUAAUCGGAAUUACUGGGCGUAAAGCGCAUGCAGGUGGUUUGUUAAGUCAGAUGUGAAAGCCCUGGGCUCAACCUAGGAGUUGCAUUUGAAACUGACAAGCUAGAGUACUGUAGAGGGGGGUA